rnacentral:rRNA from 1 species
CGUAGCCGGCCGAGCGGGUCCGUCGGAAAUCCGCGUGCUCAACGCGCGGGCGUCCGGCGGAAACCACUCGGCUUGGGGCCGGAGACUCGAGGGGUACGUCCGGGGUAGGAGUGAAAUCCCGUAUCCUGGACGGACCGCCGAUGGCGAAAGCACCUCGAGAGGACGGACCCGACGGUGAGGGACGAAAGCCAGGUCUCGAACCGGAUUAGAUACCCGGGUAGUCCUGGCCGUAAACGAUGUUCGCUAGGUGUGGCGUCGACUACGAGUCGGCGCUGUGCCGCAGGGAAGCCGCUAAGCGAACCGCCUGGGAAGUACGUCCGCAAGGAUGAAACUUAAAGGAAUUGGCGGGGGAGCACUACAACCGGAGGAGCCUGCGGUUUAAUUGGACUCAACGCCGGAAAUCUUACCAGCUCCGACAGUAGCGAUGACGCUCAGUGUGAUGAGCUUGGUUGAGCUACUGAGAGGAGGUGCAUGGCCGCCGUCAGCUCGUACCGUGAGGCGUCCUGUUAAGUCAGGCAACGAGCGAGACCCGCACUCUUAAUUGCCAGCGACACCGCGAGGUGGUCGGGUACAUUAGGAGGACUGCCGUCGCCAAGACGGAGGAAGGAACGGGCAACGGUAGGUCAGUAUGCCCCGAAUGAGCUGGGCUACACGCGGGCUACAAUGGUCGAGACAAUGGGUUCCAACCUCGAGAGAGGACGGUAAUCUCCUAAACUCGGUCGUAGUUCGGAUUGAGGGUUGAACUCACCCUCAUGAAGCUGGA